rnacentral:lncRNA from 1 species
UUAUCCACUUUGCAGUAACCAACUUUCUAUUUCUUUUUUUCUUUUCAUUUCUUACUCCCUUAAUUUUCUCCUCCUUCACCCUUUCAUAUAUUAUUAUAUAAGUUAUUAAGGUGUUCUAUUAUUUAUAUUAUUUUUAAUUUAACUUGUUGGUAUUUAUAUUAAUAAUUUUGUUGAUUCAUGUAUCCUCUUGUUAAUUAAGAAAGAUUUAUUUAACUCAGAAUAUCCUCUAAUUAAUCAGAAAAGUGCUUGUUUAAUCCUGGAGAAAUAUUUCAUAUUGCUGAAAUAGUUUCUUAGGACAGUGCCUAGCACGACUCAAGUAUAAUUAAUAUAACAUAGAAGUAAUAUUUAUUUAAUAUUCAGUAUCAUUAAUUUAUCAAUAAGAAAUUAUAUCACUGUUAUAAUUAUUAUUUCGGCUAUACUAUUAUUAUUUUAGUAUUGUUAUUACUAUACAUUGUUAUAUCAUUUUUUUUUUAACAUUGAUAAACUGAUAUUCUUUAGCAUUAGGAUAUGCUGGCCACCUUCAGAAAUUACAUAACCUUAAUUAAAAUUAUAGAUUUCCUAUUAGAUCUACAAUCUUAUCUACAUCCACUAUACACAAUUGUUUACACCAAAAAAGUUAUGAUACUAAACAAUUCCAUUUUACUUUUUGAAUAAAAUUGAAUUUAUCUUCAAAAUAUCUCUCAUUUCUUUUUAUUCAUAUAAACCACCACAUGCAUGAUGGAAUCAGCUUCCACCACCUCUUCUGAUCCAGCAACUAUAUAAGUCAGUCGUAUGCUCAGGCAUUGACCAACUGUAACUGUUGAUGUUGAGAAAGAGUUCCCAGAGUUGAGAUGUAUACUUGCAAUACAUACAUAAGUGACUAUUAGUCUCCCCUGACAGGUUGCAUAGAAAGCAUCUAGGGACUAGCGUCCUUUCUUUCUUCUAAAGGACUUCUUGGGUAAGACAUGCUCUUUUAAUCACUAGCCAAGUGAAACACUUCACCUUUGUAGGAAUCAAGUCUCUCCAUAUGAUCUUCCAUUGAUUAUUAUUAUUUACAGAUCCCCCUUGUAUCCUUUGUUUGUAAGCACUAUUAACUGUUAACUUCUCAUCUUUGUUGUGUUUCCAAUGAUCUUGUCUGGUACAUUUGUAUCUACUUGAGUUUCUUCCAAUUUUUCCAGUAGGAGGGCCAUCCUAUCUACUUC